rnacentral:misc_RNA from 1 species
GAACAAUAAUUAUUGGUAAAUGUUAAACUCACAUAAAUUCAGAUUUGGAAAAUAGUCUAAAUCCAGUCGUGCUGACCUCAUAUUCUGGAUUUCUUUCUGCACAUAAAAGUUUCUCUAUGGGUCGCCAAUAGGAGAAUACUUUUUUCCAAAGAAAACAUAUUGUUAAAUGCUAUUUUGUUUUUUAUGAGUGCUGGGUAUACUGUGUGUGUGAGCUUCACUUUGUCUAUGGACUUAUCUUGUAAUAUGAUUUAUUACUUUUUAUAUACAAUUACUGUUCGUGUUGUAAUUUCUGGAAACAUUUAAAUAUUUUUGCAACAAAUUAAAUUUUAUGUUUUAGUGUAAGACGACGAGAAUGUGUUUAUUAAAGUCUCUCAUGUGAUUGUUGUGUGGAGAGGCUCGUAUGGUGUAGGGCAUCAGCUGUUGUGAUGGUGUAAAGAUGUCCAACGUUGCUGAACAGAUUCACCUUUAUCAGCGGAAAUUAGAAAAAUAUGCCAAAGGCAAGGAGACUGAUAAGUUACUCUACUACAUUCACAAACUGAAAUAUUUAGAUGUGACUGUCAGCCACUUAGAAGUUACUGGUGUUGGCCGCUCAGUUAAUUCCCUCCGUCACCAUGAAGGAUUGGUGGGGGAGAAGGCACGAGCCCUUGUCAAUAAAUGGAAGGUGAUGGUGAAAGCUGAAGAAGAUGAAGGUGAAGAUGAGGAAUUUGAGGAAGAGGAAACAGAGGAAGAGGAGGAGGAAGAGAAAGAGAGAGCAAAGCCUGUUGCACCACAGAGGAAUAAGGAAAGGCAUGAGGCAGAGGACCGGGACAGUGAAGGAGGUGAAGAAGACGACGAGGAAGAUGACCGAUUACAGAUAGAAGAAGAUGCAAAUGAAACGGUGGAAUAUGAGGAUGAGGGCGAUGGUUACAAAUAUAUUCCAGAGCCUCUUAUGGGGAGCAAAAUCGGGAGUGGGUAUGGAGACCAUUCACUGGACUCGGAUGAUGAAAAUAUGGACUCUUACAAUCCAGUCACAUCACAGAGAGAUUAUCAGAUGAAUUCAGGCAGUCCAGCCAUUGCAGUAGAGUAUCAUCCCUCUGGUUCUAGGAUGGAUAGCCCUGCGGCCAUCUCAAGUCCAAGCUGGAAGGAUGGAUCACCAAGUGGGUCCUUUGACAGAAAGAAUGGAAGCAGUAGUAAAUCUUCUCCCAAAAAGAGUAUUAAAGAAGACAAAGAGAGAUACAGAGAAAAGGAGAGACACAAAGACAGAGAGAAGAACAAGCAUAAAGAAUCCUCUGGCAGUCAUAAAGAACAUAAACAUAAAGAAAAGCAUAAACAUAGAGACCGAGAGGAGAGAAAAGCAGAGAAAGAAAAAAUAAAGUCUCACAAGGAUAAACACAGAGAUAAAGACAGACACAAUAGUGACAAGACACCAGACAAUAAACAUAACCAGGAAGAAUACAGUGAGAAGUCAAGAUCAGAGAAGGAUUUAGAGGGUGGUAUUGUUAAUGGCUUCAGUACUCCAGAGGUAGAAAGAUCUGUUGAAGGAAGGCAAGAAUCUAGGGACAGUGAUAAAAGGGAUGAUGAAAAACGAAAAGACAAAAGUCACAGGAAGGAAAAUAGUUCAGGUAGAGAUAGUUUACUUAAAGAAAACAGAAUAAAGGAAAGUAGUAGAGAGAGAGAAAGCAGUAGAGAAAAUGAAAACAAAGUGAGAGAAAAAGAAAAGAGGAAGGAGGAAAAACACAGGGAUAAGAACAAAGACAGUAGUGCAUGUGGUAGUAGUAAAAAAGACAAACAUAAGAAAGAUCUAGAUCCAAGGAAGAAUCAAAGAGAACUAGAGGAUUCAGAGAGUGAUAAAAAGAAAAAGAAGAAAAGUGAUGGAGAUGAAGGAGCAGCCUUUGGUGCAGCAUUGAUGGGUCUUGACUCUCCUGUGAAGAGGAAAAAAAAGAAAAAGAAAAAGAGUCUAGAGAAAGAACGGGAUAGUUCAGAUGAUGAACAACCAUCAACCAGUCACUCAUCCAACAAGAGGAUACAUUCAGAUGGAGGAGGACUACCGGAUCCUAAAAAGCCGAGGCUACUAAUACAGUCACCACAGAAGAUACCAACCUUACCCUCCUUAGGACCUUUAAUACCAGAUGAAGCUCCUCUUCUUCCUGAAAUAAACCCCAACUACAAACCCUUACCUCGAGUCCCAAUACGGGAUGAACCAUCUGACUGUAUCACUUCUAAGAUGACAGAAGAAGAGGCUUUGAAUAUUAUGCUUCAGUCAAAAAGUAACAGACGUAGCAAAGUGUACUCAGGCAAGGUGUCUGGCUUAUCUUAUGUGCCGACACUAUAUGAGGUGUGCAUUAGAGUUCUGCAAGAAAAUAUUGAUGCAUUGGAGUUCACUGGAGGAAUUCCCUUUGAAAUCCUUCGGCCUGUCCUAGAACGAGCAUCACCACAGCAGUUACUUAACCUAGAAGAUUACAACCACUAUCUUCUGCAAGACACUAAUGUACUAUGGGAGAUACACUGCAGGAGGGACUUCAGAAACAAGAAAUUAGAGGAGAUGGAAACAUGGCGAGAAAUGUGGAUACGCUGCUUUGAAGAAAGGGAACGAAAGCUGAAGAGUCUGACUCAAAAUCUGCAGCAGAGGAUUUCAACAGCUGUACCAAAGCGAACAACUAAGUUAGCCUUUGUUGAUACAGCCGCCAAAGUACCAAAAAGUGUUGCCCGUGCUCAGGCAAAGUAUGGAACAGCAGCUCCCUCUGCAACUGCAGCGAAACCAGGGAAGGCUAAUGAAGUUGCAGCACGAAAGACAGCUAUGCAAAAUGUCCAGCGUGCAGAGAGAGUGGCUGGUAAUCCUCGACCAGUCUCAGCCAAGAACAAGAAAGUGGCACCACUGAUGGCCAAGACCCGACAAUUCUUCAAGAAAGCUUUCCGCCGUUGAGAUUCCAUCUGAACUAUUAGUGAGCGUCUUCAGCUUUCUUGAUUCAGUCUGAAGACUUGUCAGAUUGUGAUGAUGGCACCGAAAUGAUGUUUAAUAGCCCCGAUGAAGACAAUGAAUAUUCAUAUGAACACCAGCGAGUCUCCCUCUCCACUUGGCUUCCCACCCUAACACGCCUGAUGCUCGUGUCCGCAAAACAUAAAAAAGCCUCGUUUAUAUCCUUCAUUGCAUCAACAUAUCUCGUGUUUGCGAAGCUCUCCAAAGAAAUCUGAUUUAUCUGUCUACAAGUGAAAGUGAUAAUUAUUUACGUUAUAAUGUGAUUAAUUAAUUUGCAAAGAGUUUUAUUGACAUAAUUACUCGCGUGAGAACCAGAGAAUCACCAAGAUCAUCGUGUAAAGUGUAUAGUGUUUCGCUCGAGGAUCCCGUGUCUCUGAAGUGUUAACUAAGGACCCAGUGACUGAAGUGUUAACUAAGGACCCAGUGACUGAAGUGUUAACUAAGGACCCAGUGACUGAAGUGUUAACUAAGGAUCUAGUGUUUCUGAAGUGUUAACUAAGUAUUCAGUGUCUGAAGUGUUAAAUAAGGAUCCAGUGUCUGAAGUGAUAACUAAGGAUCCAGUGACUCUGAAGUGUUAACUAAGGAUCCCGUGUCUCUGAAGUGUUAACUAAGGAUCCAGUGACUGAAGUGUUAACUAAGGACCCAGUGACUGAAGUGUUAACUAAGGAUCUAGUGUUUCUGAAGUGUUAACUAAGUAUUCAGUGUCUGAAGUGUUAAAUAAGGAUCCAGUGUCUGAAGUGAUAACUAAGGAUCCAGUGACUCUGAAGUGUUAACUAAGGAUCUAGUGUUUCUGAAGUGUUAACUAAGGAUCCAGUGUCUGAAGUGUUAACUAAGGAUCCAGUGUAUGUGUGAGGUGUCCUUUAGUGUUCUCCAACAAAGCCUCACGACACGUUGAAUGUGACCCUCGGGGGAGACCAAGUGCCUUACUCCUACUG